rnacentral:lncRNA from 1 species
UGCUUCCAAAACACUUGCACAGUGAGUCGUUUGCAGGCCGGGCACAGGAACCGUAGUCUCCUCAUGCCAGCCCACCUGUAAAUAAAGGAAAGUUUUAUAGAAUCACAGACUCUGAAACUGGAAAGAGGGAGCGGUGGUAUCAUUUUGGGAAGGCUGGUGUCCACUGUGCGGUACCAUUACAGACAUCAUUAAUCAAUUGUGGAACAUGGUUCUGCUGGUUCUGGUAGUUUUUCAUCAUCUGGAAGAAACAACAGUGGUCAAGAUGUUGAUGACAAUGAAGAAGCCAAAGGAGACUCUAGAAUAAGAAAAACUCACGUGUCACCAUGUAAGAUGUAAUGGCUUCCUCAAUGGACUUGGAAUUUUUGAGCCAUUAGAAAGACUCUGGCUUGGCUCCAGUGGCUUCACUUUUGGUAGCCAAACCACUGAACUCUGGGUUUCAAACACUGGAUCAGGUUACCAGUGGAUAAUGCUUUCGGAGAACACCACCACUUCCCACUUUUUCUGGAGUCAGUGUCUGUGUUUCUCUGAGAUAUGAAUCCCUGAUAUCUUGUGCAGAGCCUCCAGAUUCAGGGCUUACAAGAGAGGAAAGUGUUACCCUGGCUAGCAUGGGAUCGUGGGGAUCAGUUAAUAUGAGGCUAGCCUUGCUAGUUCA